rnacentral:rRNA from 1 species
ACAUGCAUACAACAUAACGUUAAUGCAUCGGAUCCCAUUAGAAUUCCACAAUUAAGCACACUCAGGCUAGAGUAGUACUGGGAUGGGUGACCGCUCGGGAAAUCCUAGUGUUUUACAUGCC